rnacentral:rRNA from 1 species
CACGUAGGGGACGAGCGUUGUCCGGAUUCAUUGGGCGUAAAGCGCGCGUAGGCGGCUCGGAAAGUCGGGCGUGAAAUGCCGGGGCUCAACCCCGGGACUGCGUCCGAUACUUUCCGAGCUGGAGGUAGGUAGGGGGGAUCGGAAUUCCUGGUGUAGCGGUGAAAUGCGCAGAUAUCAGGAGGAACACCGGUGGCGAAGGCGGAUCUCUGGGCCUUACCUGACGCUGAGGCGCGAAAGCUAGGGGGAGCGAACAGG